rnacentral:tRNA from 1 species
GCCCAAGUGGUGGAACUGGUAGACACGCCAGCUUGAGGUGCUGGUGGGGGAAACCCUGUGGAGGUUCGAGUCCUCUCUUGGGCACCA